CCUACGGGAGGCAGCAGUAGGGAAUCUUUCACAAUGGGCGAAAGCCUGAUGGAGCAACGCCGCGUGCAGGAUGAAGGCCUUCGGGUUGUAAACUGCUUUUAUAAGCGAGAAAUAUGAUGGUAACUUAUGAAUAAGGAUCGGCUAACUACGUGCCAGCAGCCGCGGUCAUACGUAGGAUCCGAGCAUUAUCCGGAGUGACUGGGUGUAAAGAGUUGCGUAGGUGGCAUAAUAAGUAGCUAGUGAAAUCUGGUGGCUCAACCAUUCAGACUAUUAGCUAAACUGUUAAGCUCGAGACCGUUAGGGGUAACUGGAAUUUCUAGUGUAGGAGUGAAAUCCGUAGAUAUUAGAAGGAACACCAAUAGCGUAGGCAGGUUGCUGGGACGGUUCUGACACUGAGGCACGAAAGCGUAGGGAGCAAACGGGAUUAGAUACCCCAGUAGUC
rnacentral:rRNA from 1 species